CUUAACUCAUGCAAGUCGAGGGGCAGCAUGGUCUUAGCUUGCUAAGGCCGAUGGCGACCGGCGCACGGGUGAGUAACACGUAUCCAACCUGCCGUCUACUCUUGGACAGCCUUCUGAAAGGAAGAUUAAUACAAGAUGGCAUCAUGAGUCCGCAUGUUCACAUGAUUAAAGGUAUUCCGGUAGACGAUGGGGAUGCGUUCCAUUAGAUAGUAGGCGGGGUAACGGCCCACCUAGUCUUCGAUGGAUAGGGGUUCUGAGAGGAAGGUCCCCCACAUUGGAACUGAGACACGGUCCAAACUCCUACGGGAGGCAGCAGUGAGGAAUAUUGGUCAAUGGGCGAGAGCCUGAACCAGCCAAGUAGCGUGAAGGAUGACUGCCCUAUGGGUUGUAAACUUCUUUUAUAAAGGAAUAAAGUCGGGUAUGGAUACCCGUUUGCAUGUACUUUAUGAAUAAGGAUCGGCUAACUCCGUGCCAGCAGCCGCGGUAAUACGGAGGAUCCGAGCGUUAUCCGGAUUUAUUGGGUUUAAAGGGAGCGUAGAUGGAUGUUUAAGUCAGUUGUGAAAGUUUGCGGCUCAACCGUAAAAUUGCAGUUGAUACUGGAUAUCUUGAGUGCAGUUGAGGCAGGCGGAAUUCGUGGUGUAGCGGUGAAAUGCUUAGAUAUCACGAAGAACUCCGAUUGCGAAGGCAGCCUGCUAAGCUGCAACUGACAUUGAGGCUCGAAAGUGUGGGUAUCAAACAGGAUUAGAUACCCUGGUAGUCCACACGGUAAACGAUGAAUACUCGCUGUUUGCGAUAUACGGCAAGCGGCCAAGCGAAAGCGUUAAGUAUUCCACCUGGGGAGUACGCCGGCAACGGUGAAACUCAAAGGAAUUGACGGGGGCCCGCACAAGCGGAGGAACAUGUGGUUUAAUUCGAUGAUACGCGAGGAACCUUACCCGGGCUUAAAUUGCAGAUGAAUUACGGUGAAAGCCGUAAGCCGCAAGGCAUCUGUGAAGGUGCUGCAUGGUUGUCGUCAGCUCGUGCCGUGAGGUGUCGGCUUAAGUGCCAUAACGAGCGCAACCCUUGUUGUCAGUUACUAACAGGUUCCGCUGAGGACUCUGACAAGACUGCCAUCGUAAGAUGUGAGGAAGGUGGGGAUGACGUCAAAUCAGCACGGCCCUUACGUCCGGGGCUACACACGUGUUACAAUGGGGGGUACAGAGGGCCGCUACCACGCGAGUGGAUGCCAAUCCCCAAAACCUCUCUCAGUUCGGACUGGAGUCUGCAACCCGACUCCACGAAGCUGGAUUCGCUAGUAAUCGCGCAUCAGCCACGGCGCGGUGAAUACGUUCCCGGGCCUUGUACACACCGCCCGUCAAGCCAUGGGAGCCGGGGGUACCUGAAGUGCGUAACCGCGAGGAGCGCCCUAGGGUAAAACUGGUGACUGGGGCUAAGUAA
rnacentral:rRNA from 1 species